AUUGAACGCUGGCGGCAUGCUUUACACAUGCAAGUCGAACGGUAACAGGUUAAGCUGACGAGUGGCGAACGGGUGAGUAAUGCAUCGGAACGUGCCCGGUCGUGGGGGAUAACGCAGCGAAAGCUGCGCUAAUACCGCAUACGAUCUGAGGAUGAAAGCGGGGGACCGUAAGGCCUCGCGCGAUCGGAGCGGCCGAUGUCAGAUUAGGUAGUUGGUGGGGUAAAGGCUCACCAAGCCAACGAUCUGUAGCUGGUCUGAGAGGACGACCAGCCACACUGGGACUGAGACACGGCCCAGACUCCUACGGGAGGCAGCAGUGGGGAAUCUUGCGCUAAUGCGGGAAACCGUGACGCAGCGACGCCGCGUGAGGGAAGAAGGCCUUCGGGUUGUAAACCUCUUUCAGAAGGGACGAAGCUACUCGGGUUAAUAGCCCAGAGGGUGACGGUACCUUCAGAAGAAGCCCCGGCUAACUACGUGCCAGCCGCCGCCGUAA
rnacentral:rRNA from 1 species